rnacentral:rRNA from 1 species
CCUACGGGUGGCAGCAGUGAGGAAUAUUGGUCAAUGGGCGCGAGCCUGAACCAGCCAAGUAGCGUGAAGGAUGACUGUACUGCGUGUUGUAAACUUCUUUUAUCAAGGAAUAAAGUGAGGCACGAGUGCCUUGUUGUAUGUACUUUAUGAAUAAGGAUCGGCUAACUCCGUGCCAGCAGCCGCGGUAAUACGGAGGAUCCGAGCGUUGUCCGGAUUUAUUGGGUUUAAAGGGAGCGUAGAUGGGUUGUUAAGUCAGUUGUGAUAGUUUGCGGCUCAACCGUAAAAUUGCAAUUGAUACUGGCAGUCUUGAGUACAGGUGAGGUAGGCGGAAUGCGUGGUGUAGCGGUGAAAUGCUUAGAUAUCACGAAGAACCCCGAUUGCGAAGGCAGCGUACUAAACUGACACUGACAUUGAUGCACGAAAGUGUGGGUAUCAAACAGGAUUAGAUACCCGAGUAGUC